GUCCUUGCAGCGCAAUGAUGGCGCAUUGAACUUCUAAUCCAAAGGUCGUGGGCUCGAAUCCCCACCUGGGAUG